GAUGAACGCUGGCGGCGUGCCUAAUACAUGCAAGUCGAGCGAACGGACGAGAAGCUUGCUUCUCUGAUGUUAGCGGCGGACGGGUGAGUAACACGUGGAUAACCUACCUAUAAGACUGGGAUAACUUCGGGAAACCGUAGCUAAUACCGGAUAAUAUUUUGAACCGCAUGGUUCAAAAGUGAAAGACGGUCUUGCUGUCACUUAUAGAUGGAUCCGCGCUGCAUUAGCUAGUUGGUAAGGUAACGGCUUACCAAGGCAACGAUGCAUAGCCGACCUGAGAGGGUGAUCGGCCACACUGGAACUGAGACACGGUCCAGACUCCUACGGGAGGCAGCAGUAGGGAAUCUUCCGCAAUGGGCGAAAGCCUGACGGAGCAACGCCGCGCGAGUGAUGAAGGUCUUCGGAUCGUAAAACUCUGUUAUCAGGGAAGAACAUAUGUGUAAGUAACUGUGCACAUCUUGACGGUACCUAAUCAGAAAGCCACGGCUAACUACGUG
rnacentral:rRNA from 1 species